rnacentral:rRNA from 1 species
UACCGAGUUUACAACUCCCAAACCCCUGUGAACAUACCAAUUGUUGCCUCGGCGGAACAGCCCGCUCCCGGUAAAACGGGACGGCCCGCCAGAGGACCCCUAAACUCUGUUUCUAUAUGUAACUUCUGAGUAAAACCAUAAAUAAAUCAAAACUUUCAACAACGGAUCUCUUGGUUCUGGCAUCGAUGAAGAACGCAGCAAAAUGCGAUAAGUAAUGUGAAUUGCAGAAUUCAGUGAAUCAUCGAAUCUUUGAACGCACAUUGCGCCCGCCAGUAUUCUGGCGGGCAUGCCUGUUCGAGCGUCAUUUCAACCCUCAAGCCCCCGGGUUUGGUGUUGGGGAUCGGCGAGCCCUUGCGGCAAGCCGGCCCCGAAAUCUAGUGGCGGUCUCGCUGCAGCUUCCAUUGCGUAGUAGUAAAACCCUCGCAACUGGUACGCGGCGCGGCCAAGCCGUUAAACCCCCAACUUCUGAAUGUUGACCUCGGAUCAGGUAGGAAUACCCGCUGAACUUAAGCAUAUCAA